CUGUGCGCACGCCAGAGCGCCGCCGCCGUAAACCCCGCCGUUCCGAGCUCGGUUCCCGGCCGCCGUUGGAACUCCGCCGUGUCCAUUGCCACGGUGAGCUUCGCCCCGACGUCCGCAACCCGGAACGCGCACCAAUUUCCCCUUCCCCUCCCUAUUUCUCUCUGCCCGCGCUCACCCGCCGUCCGUCGUGCAGCCGCCACCGUCGACCCGGGCCACCGUCGCGUCUCCGUCGCCGCCGAGGAGUCCCCGGAGCCCGCCUUGAGCGACUCCGACGAGAUUCAGGAGGAAUCUCUCGUCCCCUCUCCUCCGCCUCGUCGCUCCCUCUCUAAGAGAGGACGUGGCUCUGGUCGGAUGGAUGGUGAGGGCUCUUCCAUGCCCUCGCCGCCGACUCGCGGGAGACGCCAAAAGGUUGGCACCUCUCGUCCUCGUCGUAGCACGUCUUCCUCUGGGUAUGCUCCCUGCCAGGAGGAGGAUGGGGCUUUCGACGACUUCGUCGACCUUCCGGCGCCUGAUGCUCUCUACGUCACCGGACUGCACAUGCAUCCGGCGAACGUCACCCGCGGUCCGCAUGAACCUCCCGUCGACUUCACUCUGAAGGGAAUAGACACCCUUCAGCGCCUGAGCUCUUCAUGUGGCCUCUUUCUUUUGAACUAUAUCAAAUACUGGACAGGGGAUGAACUGUCUGACAGUUUUACCCAGGAUGACAUGUCACACUUUAGGAAAAAAAUGGCUGCUAUAUUACUAUCUUCAGACCUGAAUAAGAGAAGGGGGUGUAUGUUAUACAAAAAUGAAAAAGAAGUUGACUCUGGAAGCCCAUCAGAUGUUGAGAUAUUAGAAAACCCGACAGAUUCUAAUAAGAGGAAACUACUCCACAUGCUUGAUGAUAGCGAAGUAGUGUAUGAAGAUGAGGAAGACCCUAUUACUCAAGCAGACUUGCAAAGGUGGUUUGUUGAUGAUUGGGAUAAAAGAGCUCCUGUAAAAGUCUCUACUGAUGGGUGCACAAAUGACUUUUUAAUGGUUGGUCUUUCCACAAAGGACAUGCCAGUGACCAAAGCCAAUUCAAUAGAUGUUUUAUGUGAUUAUAUCAUGGCAAUAGAAGACGAUACGACACUAGAAGAAUGGUUGGUUAUGGUAAACUUCCAAAGUACCAUCAGGAUCCUACAACAGAAGAAUUAG
rnacentral:misc_RNA from 1 species